UUAUUUCGACGNAUNCUGGCGGCAUGUAUUAACACAUGCAAGUCGAACGCCCCGCAAGGGGAGUGGCAGACGGGUGAGUAACGCGUGGGAACAUACCCUUUCCUGCGGAAUAGCUCCGGGAAACUGGAAUUAAUACCGCAUACGCCCUACGGGGGAAAGAUUUAUCGGGGAAGGAUUGGCCCGCGUUGGAUUAGCUAGUUGGUGGGGUAAAGGCCUACCAAGGCGACGAUCCAUAGCUGGUCUGAGAGGAUGAUCAGCCACAUUGAGACUGAGACACGGCCCAAACUCCUACGGGAGGCANCAGUGGNGNAUAUUGGACAAUGNGCGCAAGCCUGAUCCNGCCAUGCCCNCGUGANUGAU
rnacentral:rRNA from 1 species